ACGGGAGGCAGCAGUGGGGAAUAUUGCACAAUGGGCGAAAGCCUGAUGCAGCGACGCCGCGUGAGGGAAGACGUUUUUCGGAAUGUAAACCUCUGUCGCAUGGGACGAUAAUGACGGUACCAUGUGAGGAAGCCAUGGCUAACUACGUGCCAGCAGCCGCGGUAAUACGUAGAUGGCAAGCGUUGUCCGGAAUUACUGGGUGUAAAGGGAGUGUAGGCGGUUUUGCAAGUUGAAUGUGAAAGCUAAGGGCUUAACCCUUAAAGUGCGUUCAAAACUGUAAGACUUGAGUGAAGUAGAGGCAAGUGGAAUUCCUAGUGUAGCGGUGGAAUGCGUAGAUAUUAGGAGGAACACCAGUGGCGAAGGCGACUUGCUGGGCUUUUACUGACGCUGAGGCUCGAAAGCAUGGGUAGCAAACAGGAUUAGAUACCCUGGUA
rnacentral:rRNA from 1 species